UUUCAGAUACAUCAGAGCACUGACCGCAGAAAAAAUUCUCCCAUUUUGAAUUCUCACUUAGAUUCACAGACUGGGAAGGGGCGUUACCCAGCAGGCGUGACAUCAUCUGAAGCCAUACAGGGGAGAACUACCUCCAUCAAUCUGCUACACACAGCCCAGAGCAGUUCAGUGUGAGAGAACCAUGGAACUAGAUGCCUUGCUGAGCAGAAUGGACAAAGAACACAAUCCUAUAGACACUUGAAAAAGAAGAUGAAGAUUUUUGCCAACCAAAACACACGCCUAGCAUGUGCUGACAUGUUGAUUUAAAUACCACCACAGCAUAUGGUAACCAACCAGCUUGCUUAGUGAAGGAUUGACCUGAUGGAUGGAUACAUGUAAAAAGAAUUGCAGUAGGAGAACUGAACAGCAGCUGCAUGAAAAAAGCAUGUUAUUCUAUGAGUAUGUUCACAAUGGCAUUAAAUGCACAGGUUUUGAUGCUUAAACCGUGCCAAUUUCUGUGUCAAAAACCAUGCAGUUUCAAAAUCCUGCCCCCUUGACUUCCAUUGAAGACAGUAAACUGCACAGUAAAAAAGACAUGUCACUUCUUUCCGAGCAGUCCAGUUAUGAAGCUUCCAUUGAAGGCUAAAGUGCAACUCUGCGCACUGUUUAGGUUUUUGCCCAUGUGCACAUUUCCUAUGGGCAGUUAUUUAAAAUAGCAAGAGUGUAUAUACCAUAGUGACAGCCCAUGCAGAUUUCCGCCCUCAAUGGCCACUGGAGUAUUAAGGUUGAAGAGAGGACCAGAGAGUCUUCUCAUCUUUCUAUGUAUCAAAAAAGGAAAACAUAAGACCUGGCCAUUCAUUCUGCAUAAAGGUCUGGAGUUUAUGCUAGCAUCAGAAAAGGCAUCUGUCAAUUUGUUAUUUGUUAAAGAAUACCUGUAA